UACACUCCUACGGGAGGCAGCAGUGGGGAAUAUUGCACAAUGGGCGCAAGCCUGAUGCAGCCAUGCCGCGUGUAUGAAGAAGGCCUUCGGGUUGUAAAGUACUUUCAGCGGGGAGGAAGGCAAUACGGUUAAUAACCGUGUUGAUUGACGUUACCCGCAGAAGAAGCACCGGCUAACUCCGUGCCAGCAGCCGCGGUAAUACGGAGGGUGCAAGCGUUAAUCGGAAUUACUGGGCGUAAAGCGCACGCAGGCGGUCUGUCAAGUCGGAUGUGAAAUCCCCGGGCUCAACCUGGGAACUGCAUUCGAAACUGGCAGGCUUGAGUCUUGUAGAGGGGGGUAGAAUUCCAGGUGUAGCGGUGAAAUGCGUAGAGAUCUGGAGGAAUACCGGUGGCGAAGGCGGCCCCCUGGACAAAGACUGACGCUCAGGUGCGAAAGCGUGGGGAGCAAACAGGAUUAGAAACCCGGGUAGUCCCAUGA
rnacentral:rRNA from 1 species